ensembl:lncRNA
UAUAACAGUAUCAGUUAGUGAGACGGAAGACGUAGCUGCAGAUGGAGCGCGCUCAGAGUAGCCCAAACAGUUAAAAAGUGUUGCGUUAUCUGAAACUUAAACAAUUACAGAAAGGCACUGAACAAGGAACUAAAAGAGCACAGAACUUUUACACACCCACCCAAAUUGGAUACCACUUUGACUGGACGGCGAGGGACAGUAUUUUGAUGACCGUGCAACGCAGGUUUCAAUGGACAGAUGGAAGGCAGCCAUCAUCUGCACUGGUGUGGAAAUGUGUCUUACAAGGUCUCAGGAAGUUCCUGCUGUAAUGGUAAUAUAACUCUGGGAUUAAGCCAGCUGGUGGCUGACUGCUGUGGUUCUGUAGCUUACAAUCCACUUAAUGAGAUUUGCUGUAAUGGCAGUAUUCUGACUCGAAGCAGCACUUACGCGAAAUGCUGUGGCAAAGAUCAUGAUAAAAAAACAGAACACCAGCCAGGCUCUCCUCCAACUCGCCCUCUGCCCAUAUUAUCAGACUUGAUUUGUGGAUCAGAAACCUACAAUCCCCAUAAACAAAUGUGUUGCUCAGGGAAUCUGUAUAAGGCAUCAGCACUUACUAAGUGCUGUGGUGGAGAUGCUUACACUCUGUCAGAUGACAAUGUGCUGUGCUGUAAUGGAAUCCUUCAUCUCAAUGUGCCUGAGCAGUCUGAGUGUGUUGGAGGUGUUAUAUAUACUCCAGCAAACACUACUUGCCAAAUGUCGACCCGUCCUCGUCUUGGAGAGCACUGCUGUGGAGGACAAACCUUCAAUCCUCGCACGCAUAUUUGCUGUAAUGGUCACAGGUAGGCCCACAGAUUACAAAGAUUUAAAAGUGCACUUAGUACUUUUUUGCUCAUGUUUUAAAUAAUUUUAUUAUAUUUUGAUUCAUUUUGCAAUCAUCCAAACCUUGACCCUUGAUCUUAAAGGGGUCAUUGGAUGCCCAUUUUCCACAAGUUGAUAUGAUUUUUUAGGGUCUUAAUGAAAAGUCAACUUGGAACCCACGUUUUCCCAUGGUCAUCAAACCGCGACCCACAAUUAUGUAGGCCUAUAUAUUGUCGUCAUUUGUAAGUCGCUUUGGAUAAAUGCGUCUGCUUAAUGACUAAAUGUGUGUAUCUUUUGAAAAACAAAAACAAAGCAAAUUUAUUUCAUAAAAAUUAAGUCAAGACUGUUAAGAAUAUGACUAAUACUGAAUAAACAACCUAUAAGGUAAGGCUAUUAGCAGUCCCAACUAGUUUUUGUUAAUAAAGUUAAGUUGGUAUGAGCCACCACCGUCAUUCAAACAUAUACAAAAUGAGACAAAGUGAAAAUAAAAUGGUAUUUUGGGGUUAUGGAAAGAACAGUUACUAUGGUGAAUAUACAAUACUAACAUGAACUGUUAAUGAAAUGUGGAAACUGCUACUGAAUAGAAUGAAUAUCAUACCUUCAUGCAAAUCCUUCCCAGCUAACACACGCAGUACCAGUUAUGAGAUUUAUCAGUACUGUACUUUUAUUUCACACGUUGUAUGCUCGUAGUUUCUGCACUUUAGUGAAGUGAUUUACAGCAAGGCGCCACGUUCGCACGUGAUAUAGAAGAGUGCGCGCUACGAACACAGUAUAACAUCUGACAGGACAGGAUAGUUUGCUUUUCUGAGGUGAAAGCUGUUUUUAUUUAAUAACAAGUUACGAAAAUAAUAAUAGAAUACAGAAGUGUCAACAGCUUCAUGCAUGUCUUUUAAAAUAAAAGUCUCGUAUCAGAAAAACAUUUAGAAUUACGUUUUUUGUUGCUGAUGUUAUUUCUUUGGCCGUACACUCCGCGACCCACUCA